GUUCAGUUUUGAAUACUUUGGUGAUAUGGAGAAAAUCUAUGUAUUUGUAUCUGUAAUAGUGUUCUCUUUUCUGUUUUAUCUUCGAGUUUAUAACUCUCUCCCUAUCGAAAGAAAAAAAAUUGACGACUCAUUUACGGAUCUUCCUGUUGCCCGUGGAUGUUAUGACAUAAAUAAUAAAUUUUUUCUGCCUGGACAAAAAAUAAGUACAAACUACGAUAAAAAUUCCAAGUGGUGUUAUGGUAGUUACUGCUCCGAAAAUGGCUCAAUAAUUAGUUGGGAUGAUUGGAAUUGUAAUCUAUUUGAUGCAAAAACAACGCCAACAUUAAAGUCAAAAAGUCUUAAUAAAACGAAUUUUCUUAUAAAAAUGAACAUGAAGAAACAAAGUGAGUAAAUAAAAAAAACACAACAAAGUUUAUAACAAUCAUUUGGUUUGAAACAAAA
rnacentral:lncRNA from 1 species